CACGUAGGGGGCGAGCGUUGUCCGGAAUUACUGGGCGUAAAGAGCGCGUAGGCGGUCUGGUAAGCGAGGGGUGAAAGCCCACGGCUCAACCGUGGAAUUGCUCCUCGAACUGCCAGACUAGAGGUCGAAGGAGGCCAGUGGAAUUGCCGGUGUAGCGGUGAAAUGCGUAAAUAUCGGCAAGAACGCCAGUGGUGAAGACGGCUGGCUGAGACGAUCCUGACGCUGAGGCGCGAAAGCUGGGGUAG
rnacentral:rRNA from 1 species